UUUGAUUACAUUACUGAUUUUGAUUUAUGAAAGUUUUACUCAUUUUUAAACCUAUGAUAUGUAUUUAUGAAAGCUUUUAAUCAUUUAAAAUGAUUAGAAUCAUUAAUUGUUAUUGGUACUAGCUUUUGCUCUAAAAUUUAUUCUUCAAUCGUUAAAUCUUACAUUAGCUCUGAAUUUGAGCUCAAGUAUAAAUGUAAAUAAGAAUCAGAAGAUGUCGCUACACGAUUGUUUUGAAAUAAAAAUUUGAAUUUCUUAUGAUUCAUGUUUUCCUUUUUGUUUUGAAAAUUGUUUCUACAUUUCAAAAUAUUUAAUUGUUAUUUGACAUUUAUCACAUUUUUGCAAUACUCAGUCACAAAGUGUAUUGACAAUCAUCUGGUAUUGCUUCCCAAUUUUACUCGCUAAAGAAUCAAUAUCUGUUUUCAAAAGACUUCGCAAAGGAUUCAACUCUAGACAUGAAUUUCGACAAUUCUACUCAAGACUCUAUCAGAGCCCUGGGACACGUUGAACAAGAGCUCUGCCAAGGAAUGCAGUCUGCAAGUGCAGCCCUAGCAGAGUUAGCUAAGGAUAAGCCAAGUUUAAAGCAAGUUGAAACAAAUACCAACGCUUUCAUGAAAAGCCUUCAAAUAGUUGAAGCAAACCUGUGUCAACAUUUAGUUGGUAUUAAUCAAAUUUCUACGGGACAGACACACGAAGGGUCUGUAUAUUCUGUAAAAAAGAUUAACAAUAUGGCUUGGCAUCGAUUGUCCCAUGUUACAAGUGAACUGAACAAAAUCGAGUUGCCGAAAUAGCAAACUUUAUUCUUUUUUAAUGUACUUUGCAGAAAUAUGUGAUCCAUUUAAUACGAAAAAGUGAAUAAACCAACAUUCAGUAUGUA